GCGAGUCCCUUUUGGAGUAAAACUUCGAGGGCUGAAAAGGUUAUAUAUAUACACACGGAAAAAGAAGAAAGCUAUCAACGGCUGUGAUAUAUACAUAUACAUACAACUGCGGCUAAGAGAAAUAUAUACAUGCAAGGCCAACAAUUACUACAGAUUUAGGCAUAGAAUUUGAGGAUAUAUACAUACACGAACAGGAAAAAGGGGAAACAAAAGUCGACGGCUGUUGGGGAAAAACAUAGAUAUAUACACAGACGCAGAAGACGGUCGGAAUUUGGAAAACAGAGAUAGCAGAACGGCAGACGAUAAUUCAUCAGCAGUAGGAAUUUGGAAAAUAAAUCACGUUUCGUCGAUUUUUGGUGAUGACUUCCUACUUUUAUGUGUUUAAUUUCAACAAUAUGCUAAAUUAAUUAUUUUCAUGUAUUGGAUGAAAAUAAAAUCGUUUAUUAUUUAUUUUUAAUUUAAGACAAGUAAUUUAAUUAAAUUUUUACAAUUCUUGAUUAAUCUUGCAUGCUAAAUUUUAUCAUUUGAUUGUUUAAUCACCAACUUAAUAUAUUUUUACUUGUCAUAGUGUCCAAAGACUCAUAAUAGGAUUAGAACACUGCUUGAUUAACACGUUUGUAAUAAAUUUUAGAAAUAAUAUUUACCGCGCAUGCAAUUUUUGAGACAAUUGUGAAAUUGAAUACGUUCUAUUCAUUGGAAUUCGAACUAAAAAUAUAUUCAAAUCGUGACUAGAAUAGAUUUAAUUUGUCUUGAGAAAGAAAAUUAAUUACAAUAGAAUUAUCGAUUGUCAUAAAUGCAAGUACGAAACUAGUUACAUAAUUAAAAAUUAAAAAAGAUAAUAAUAUGUAGAUUCGUAAUCCAAUACAUUCAUUCUAUACACAUACUAAAUUCGCAU
rnacentral:lncRNA from 1 species